rnacentral:rRNA from 1 species
ACUUGACCUCAGAUCAGGUAGGACUACCCGCUGAACUUAA